AAUGAUGGGCUGACCUUUCCACCUCGGCCAGGACUGCAGCGUCACUCACAGCAUGAACUGAAAGCUCAUCUCCUCACUAAACACUUCACAUUGCUCUCCACUCUGCCUUCCACCUCCACUUGCAUCUGAUUUGAAUCAUGCUUUACAAGAAAGGGGAAGUCCCAGGGUGGUUUUCUUCAUCCAGGCAUUGAAGACAGGAGCCUGUCAAAACCUCAGCUGGAGUCCAGCGAAGGUUCUCUGUGGCCUGGUCUUGCUCCCAGCAUGGCAGGACUGCAGCAGAGAAACCAAAGAGGAAUAUUCUGUCCUGGGGGAGAAGGAUCAAGCUUAUGUGGAAUUGACAACUUCCCCAAAGUGCAAUGUCAUACGGAGUCAUCUUCACUCCUCACCCCUCUCCCCCACCAUCCGCCCUCUCCCCUCU